CAAAGGCAGUUCUGAGGUUCACUCUCUGAAGAAACUUAGGCAGAGACAUCCUGAUUCGUAGGAGACAAAGGCUUGGAGGACUGAUAAGCAGCACGGAAAUGCACAAGGAGCAGAGGAAGGGUGUGGUCCAUCCCGGACAGGCUGAGCUCUUAUGCUGAAGAUCGCCACCCAGUGGGGACACGGGAAAUUCCAGCCCAGGGUGCCCAGCUGUGACCUAAUGAGGAAGCCUGUGGAUGGUGACAGAAAGCUGGCUAACAUAAGAGUCACUGAAGACUUUCAUCUUUCCUCUAAUAAAAUGGAGUCAGACAUUGUGCUGGCUGGUUUUGAGGGUCAACUUGACUGACAAGAAGCUCAAGCCAGAGAGGAGGGAGCCUCAGUUGAGGAAAUGCCUCCAUGAGAUCCAGCUGUGAGACAUUUUCUCAUUAGUGAUCAACGAGGGAGCCUAAUAAGGAGAGUGCUGUCCCUGGUCUGGUGGUCCUGGGUUCUAUGAGAAAGAAAGCUGCUAAGCCAUGUUAAACAAGCCAGUUACCAGCACCCCUCCAUGCCCCCUGCACAGCUCCUGCCUGCAGGCUCCAGCCCUGCUUUAGUUCCUGUCCUGACUUCCUCCAAUGAUGGACCAUGAUCUGGAAGUGUAAGCUAAAUAAAGCCUUUCCUCCCCAACUUCCUUUUUGGCCAUGGUGUUUUGUUCCAGCAGUAAAAUCCCCAACGAAGACAUCAUCAUAACUGUUUAAUGAGAAUUUCGGCUUCUAUAUUGUUUGCUAUAUACCACUGUGAAAGAGCCAAGAGGAACAAGGGCUGGUGUUGUUCUUAUUUUACAAAUGAAGACACUGAAAUACACAGAAGUCAAGUUUUGCUCUCAGCUUCAUGGUUUUGAUCAUUUUUUCCCCAGUUAAUGUCCACA
rnacentral:lncRNA from 1 species